UUAAGUAUAUAUUACUUUUUAGUAAAGUUUAUAUUUUUUAUAAUUGAAGUAAUUUUAAUUAAAUUAGUUUUUGUAUAUAUUAGAUUAAAUAAUUUUAGUAAUAGUUAAUUAGUACAGUGAUGGAAUUUUGAUAUAAUUAUUUUUAUUUAUAAAGUAAAAUUUAAUUUUUGUACCUUUUGUAUCAGGGUUUAUUUAAAUUUAAAUAUUAAUAUUAUAUUAUUCUCGAAUUUAAUAGAGCUAAAAUUUUAUGAAAUUUAUUGUUACAAAAAUAUUUUUAAUAAAAUUUUAGUAGUGAUACGUUAAUCGUUAUUAAAUAUAUCUAGUUUUUCAAGAAUUAUAUUUAAUUUAUUAAUUUUAGUUUCAUAAUUUUUUUUUAUUAAGUUAAUGAACUUUAAUUAAAAGGAUCUUAGGGAUAAGCUUGGGAUUUUUAAUUAUAAAUUUAUAAAGUUUUAUUAUAAUAAGUAGGAUUAGAAAUUUUCAUCUUUUUAUAAAGUGUUAUAAUUAAUUUUUUAUAUAAUAAAAUUUAUUUUAUUUUAAUUUUUUUAUUGAAAUAUUUUAUUUAAUUAUUUGAUAAUAGAAAUAAUGAUAAAAUUAGUAUUAUUUUUGGUAUAGAUAUAAUAUUUAUUUAGAUGAAAGUAAGGAAUUCGGCAAUAUUAUACUCGCCUGUUUAUCAAAAACAUGUCUUUUUGAUUAUAAUAUAAAGUCUGGCCUGCCCACUGAAUUUUAUUUAAGGGCCGCAGUAUUUUGACUGUGCAAAGGUAGCAUAAUCAUUUGCCUUUUAAUUAGAGGCUGGAAUGAAUGGUUGAACGAAGUAUAAGCUGUCUCAUUUUUAUAAAAGUAAGAAUUUAGCUUUUCAGUUAAAAGGCUGAAAUUUUAUUAGAGGACGAGAAGACCCUAUAGAACUUUAUAGAUUUUUUAUUAGAAAAUUAUAGAUUAAAAUUUUUUUUUUAAUAAAUUGUUUAUUUUGUUGGGGUGACAGGAAGAUAUAUUUAACUCUUUUAAAAAUUUAACAUUAAUUAAUGAAAUUUUGAUCCAUUAUUAUUGAUUAUUAGAAUAAGUUACCUUAGGGAUAACAGCGUGAUUUUAUUGGAGAGUUCUUAUUGAUAAUAAAGUUUGCGACCUCGAUGUUGAAUUAAAGAAGUUCUUGAGUGCAGAAGCUUGAGUUAAUAGGUCUGUUCGACCUUUAAAUCUUUACAUGAUUUGAGUUCAGACCGGCGUGAGCCAGGUCGGUUUCUAUCCUUAAUUUGAUAUUAUGAUUUAGUACGAAAGGACCAAUUAUAAAAAAAAUUUUUUUAUGUCGAAUAAAAUU
rnacentral:rRNA from 1 species